rnacentral:rRNA from 1 species
AUCCAAACUCUUUCCCAGUAGGAGGUGGURGGCCGCAAGGUCGAAACCCCCGAACGGCGAGGGGACGCCCGAAGACCGUCGGCAGUCCUAGCUUCCCUCCAGGGGGAGGCCUCAGCCCAUGCCGCGGUCCGAGAUGGCGUCCUGAGCUCCUCUGCCCUCGCGGGCGGAGGGUCAGGCGUUUGCCGAUCAGCCGUUGUAGAUUUGUAGGCGAAAGGGAAUCUGGUA